rnacentral:rRNA from 1 species
CCUACGGGGGGCAGCAGUGAGGAAUAUUGCGCAAUGGGGGCAACCCUGACGCAGCGACGCCGCGUGAGUGAAGAAGGCCUUCGGGUUGUAAAGCUCUGUCGGAAGGGAAGAACGGUUCAGGUGUUAAUACCAUCUGGAUUUGACGGUACCUUCAAAGGAAGCACCGGCUAACUCCGUGCCAGCAGCCGCGGUAAUACGGNGGGUGCGAGCGUUAAUCGGAAUUACUGGGCGUAAAGGGCGCGUAGGCGGCCCUGCAAGUCAGUUGUGAAAGNCCACGGCUCAACCGUGGAUGUGCAAUUGAAACUGGAGGGGUUUGGUUACGGGGGGGAAGGAGGGAUUUCCGGGUGAAGGGUUAAAAUCGGUGGAUACGGGAGGGAAUCCGGUGGGGAAGGGGAUCCUCUGGGCGGAUAACUGCCGUGAAGGGGCAAAGCGGGGGGAGGAAACAGGAUUAGAUACCCUUGUAGUC